rnacentral:lncRNA from 1 species
AGGGCCUACCGGAUGAUUGGCACCGAGUGCUGGGUUAGCCUCCCGACUCCUGCUAGGCUCCCUCGGUGCUGAGUGAACGAGCGCCACGUGGCUCUUGGCCACUUCUGGCUAGCCUGGUUGUCCCCAAGCUGCAAGGUGAUGUCCACUGUAUCAGAAAAUUAUACCAUUGCUUCCAGAAUCCCAUGGAGUGACGACAUUCUAUUCCUCAAGAUCCGACCUUCUCACAUUCUGCCUCUCUUCCAUCAGACUGUUCAAACAAUGGACUGGAAGAAAUUGCAGUUUCCCCAGGACUCUCAUUCUGGAAGAAGAGAAAGAUUAAAGCCUGGACCAGCCAGAGAGGAAACUUAUCUCCUGGAACUUUUAAACCACUGUGCCAAAAACACUCCAGUCCUCCACUUACACUGUAACCUUGGGUCAGGACCCUGAAGAUGCACUUGGAAAGUUACUGGGCCUCUCUGUCUCUGUUCCUACUGUGCUCAUAUUAAAUUAAUUUCCCUCUUCUGCUUUUGCUAUUAAUUUAGAUCUAUUAAUCUACUUAUCUAAGACAGGUGCCUGAACCUGGCUUGUGACACAGGCUGUAACCUUAAGUCCAGUGACACUGGUGUCUGUACUAUCAUGAAAGUGAUUUCAUAAUUAGAUCAUAAAUGUUGA